UUGGUUGGGUACUAUGCUCUCUUUCUCAUUCAAUAUACCAUGUUCCGCGUUGGCUCCGUCCUUCACAGGUGCCUGUGUGAAAUCAUCUGCCACUACCUCCACACCCAUGGUUUCCACCACCUGAUGAUGAAAAAGAAUGGAAAGAUCAUGGAA